rnacentral:rRNA from 1 species
AGAGUUUGAUCAUGGCUCAGAUUGAACGCUGGCGGCAUGCCUUACACAUGCAAGUCGAACGGCAGCACGGGGGCAACCCUGGUGGCGAGUGGCGAACGGGUGAGUAAUACAUCGGAACGUGUCCUGUAGUGGGGGAUAGCCCGGCGAAAGCCGGAUUAAUACCGCAUACGAUCUACGGAAGAAAGCGGGGGAUCUUCGGACCUCGCGCUAUAGGGGCGGCCGAUGGCAGAUUAGCUAGUUGGUGGGGUAAAGGCCUACCAAGGCGACGAUCUGUAGCUGGUCUGAGAGGACGACCAGCCACACUGGGACUGAGACACGGCCCAGACUCCUACGGGAGGCAGCAGUGGGGAAUUUUGGACAAUGGGGGAAACCCUGAUCCAGCAAUGCCGCGUGUGUGAAGAAGGCCUUCGGGUUGUAAAGCACUUUUGUCCGGAAAGAAAACUUCGGGGCUAAUACCUCUGGAGGAUGACGGUACCGGAAGAAUAAGCACCGGCUAACUACGUGCCAGCAGCCGCGGUAAUACGUAGGGUGCGAGCGUUAAUCGGAAUUACUGGGCGUAAAGCGUGCGCAGGCGGUCUGUUAAGACAGAUGUGAAAUCCCCGGGCUUAACCUGGGAACUGCAUUUGUGACUGGCAGGCUAGAGUAUGGCAGAGGGGGGUAGAAUUCCACGUAGCAGUGAAAUGCGUAGAGAUGUGGAGGAAUACCGAUGGCGAAGGCAGCCCCCUGGGCCAAUACUGACGCUCAUGCACGAAAGCGUGGGGAGCAAACAGGAUUAGAUACCCUAGUAGUCC